GCCCUGGUGGUGCAAUGGUUAAACACUUGGUUGCUAAUCAAAAGAUUGGCGGUUCAAACCCACCCAAUGGCU
rnacentral:tRNA from 1 species